GGUGUCAGGCUCUAGGUCGGCUUCUCUACAAUUCACUUUCCCCUCAAGGUCACAAGAUGGCUGCCACAGCUCCAGGCAUCACAUCCUCACCCAACAUUCAAAGGCAGGAAAAGGCAAGUCUCUGCUUUAUGUUCCCUUUGGAAAGCAAGGAGGGACUUCCUAGGAGCCCUCUGCCUCCACUCUGACAGAUGCCCUCUCAGCUCCCAUCUUCCAGGACCGGAUCCCGUGCCCAGGCCUAAGUCAAUCCUGGGCAAGAUCACUAGAUGGGCUGAGAGCAAUUCCAAUCACCCCUGGAUCCACGGCUGGAGCCAUCUUUCCUGAGCACCACUGAGUCGGGGGGUGAACCCCCAAACCAACAGGAGACUCUUGAGGCUUAGAAGAUGGAACCAACAGUGUUGGCCGUGCGGCUGAAACAGGGUGAUCCACACUAAGCCGGUGGCCCAGCGCUGGGGCGUGGCGACACUCGGCGAGGGCGAGCUGUCGCACUUGGACAGCCUUGUGUAAUGUAAAAGCAAGAGACAGUGUCACCCAACCUGAGUCCUCGUCAGCUCAGCUCUGGAGCCAGCCCUGCCUCUUCCCAGGGUGUGAUUUGGGGGCAAGUUAUUCCACGACUUUGUGCCUCAGUUUCCUCGUCUGUGAAAUGAAAAUAACAAUUUUCUUCUUCCUUACCCCAAGGCCUUCAUGAGGUCGAAUGAAUUCACGUCCACCAAUCCCCUGGAAGAGCACCCGGGGUUCCCGCUCGCCCUUCACCAUUGGUCACGCCCGUGCGCUCGGGCAGCAGCCCCACGGGGGGUGGCAGCAGGAAGCGGGCCUGCUCCCUGAGUUUCUUUCUCUCCCUGGUGAAGGGUCCCAGGCUGCAGUUUCUCACUGAGGAAGGGAGGAGAGGGGAGUCCGGAGGGAGGGGGGGGGGGCCCAUUCCGCCCUGCCCCCUGCUGGGAGAGGGGCCGCGCAUGGGAAGAGCGCGGGCGGGGCUGGUCGCCUCUGCCCUUGUCUGCGAGCACCAAGGGCCAGGAAGGGAGGAAGCAGCAGAGACCCUGGGACAGCCACGGGGAGACUCCAAUCUGGGCCUGCAGACACAAGGGGGCAGACGGUGGGGCAAGGGCCAGCCCGCCGGACUCAGUGCCCUAGGUCCUAUCUCAUCACAGCCGGCUGUGUGGCCUCGGCAAAACAUCUCCACCUCUCUGAGCUCCAGCUUCCUGGGUGCCAGAGGAGACUAGUUAUAUUGAGCCGACAGUGGGGGAUGGACUAUUAAAGCGUUAACCACCUCUGGAGAAUUAUGAGGCUGUGGGACCCAUCGCCCCAACCCCUUCUCAAGAUGCCUCCCACCACAGGAUCUGCACAUCGGAGUCCAGGGGCCCUUGGGGGUCACUUAGCUCAGGUUUGGUUUUACAGAUGAGAAAACUGAGGCCUGGAGAAGAUAAACCCCGGUCAGACCCCCACACCAGGCCCCUCCUGGCCAGAGGCUUUCUGCGCCCUCCGUCUGUCUCUCUCUCACCCCCUCCAUCUUGCUCUCUCUCCUUUCGCUCUUUCUUUCCCUGGGGCUUUCUCCCCUCUGUUUAAAUCCUUGUCUAGUUGUCUUUCUCUGUCCCCUGCGUUUGACUGCACGUCUUUCUCUGUCACUCAUCAGCCACUCUACAUUCCUCCCUCUCUCCCCAUCUCCAAUCCCGUAGCUUCCCUGUCAUUUUCGAAACAGCUUAAAAGAAAAAUAAAAACUCUGAUAAACCCAGAGCGGGGAUGAGGACGGACUGCAAUCAUCGGGGUCUUGAGAGUGGAGUCCAGCUCUGCCACAACCUCAGGUUCUACAGAAGGGACAAGACUGGGUCCUGGCCGCCGGGGAGGGAGCCAGCCCAGCGCCAGACACAGGAGGGGUCGGGCGCCUGACCUUGGGCCUCCCUCGCGCUUGCCAAGGUUCUGAUUCCAGGAGGAGCGGUGUGACCGCCCCCAGUCCCGGCAAAAAUAGCGCAGGGAGCCGUGGCCAGCCUCCCGGACGUCUGGCGGCCCAGGUCUCUGGAGAGACAGUCCAGGCCUCCACCAGGCAGAGCAAGAACCUGCCCAAGGUCACGGAGCAGCUGGGCAGCAGAGCCGGAGCCAGACGCGAGCCUCUGCCCCCCGACUGGCGCCCUCGCAGCCCACCCAGGGCUAGGCCAGCUCCCAGUUACAGAGAAACCGCAGGCCUGCCCUCACCUCUCUGCACCGUAACAGCCCCACUUUUGUGACCGUCUCCCACGUUUCCCUGUGGGCUCCUUACCCAGGGGAGUGGAAGUGGCUCUGCCACACAUGCAGUCACCAGGAAUCCUAAUAACAAUGUCAGCUCACCUUCCUCAGGCCCCUGACAGUGCUGGGCGCUUUCUACGCACUGUCCGCACAGUGACUCAUUCCCUCUUCACUCCAACCCUGGGAGGCAGGCGCUGUUAUCAUCACACCCCUCUUAUCGAUGAGGAGACUGAGUCCCAGAGAGGUUAACUGACUUGCCCAAAGUCACAGAGCACUAAGUUUACUGGAGCUGGUCUUCCAACCCAGGCCCUAAAUGAAUUCGUGGAUGAAAAAGGGAAUAAAGGUUUGAGACUCGAGCUUACUAAGCAGCUGCUGCUAUCAUUUGACUGUUGGGCCACUAAGGGUCACAGUGGCCCCCCUCCUGGCCCUGGCAGGCUAGGCCCACAGCUGUCCUCUCAGAAUUCCAUUUCCUGGGGACCCUGGUGCUGGGAGCCCCACCCCCCAAGCCUGUCCCUUCCAGCGGCUGACCUUGGGCAAGUCCCUUUUCUCCUCUGAGCCUCAGUUUCCCCAUCCACCCAAGGGGAAACUUGAUCUAUGUGUCAGGGGUUCAGUAAAUUGAGAUUCCCAAGGGGGCUGGUGGGAUGGACCAGACUGGGGUCCCAAGCUGAGAGUAGCCUGAAAGAGCAAAUUCUAAAAUUCGGUUUCCUUUGGUCAAAAUAUGGAAAUGACUUUAAAAGUACAAGAGGACCUGAGGUUCUCAUGUUUAUCUGAAGGGGGCUCACCAGUAAGGGGUGAGCAGGGCCCCCUGACUCAAAGGGCAUGAGUGCCCUGGCCAGAGGCCGGCCCGGAGGACAUGCAGGCAGAGCCACCCCGCCCUCGGGUGCUGGCCGCAGCCAUCCUGGCACAGCCAGCCUGGGGUUGGUGACAAUCACGUCCCGGGAACUUCUGCCAGAGGGGGACAGCUGGGGAGGAGGAGGAGGCAGAGGGACAGCUGGCUCCAGGGCUCAGGCUGAGUCAUCCUCCGGGGCCGUGGUCUACACGAGUCAGGGGAGAGGGCUGUUUCCAGAGGGAGAGGAGGCAGCAGCGGGGAAGGCAUCCUGGGGCUGUGCCUGGACCGAUCAGCAGGAAAGGACAGACAGCCAGGGCCAGACUGCCACCUAGGGGAGGGUAGCCCCCUUCCCCAGUCUGCCGGCCCCCGCCCCCUACCUGCCGGGCCCAUUUCUUUUCUUCCCUCUGAUCCUGGUACCUGGUGACCAGACCCGGUGCCUCCUCUGGGCCCUCCACACCCUCAAACUCCCCCAUGCUCUCAGCCUCCCUCCCACUCCCUGGCCCCCAGGCCCUUGAAGCUGUCAGGCAACUCUGGGCUCCAGGCCACAGAGGGUGGCCUGGGGUCUCUGGAGCCAGAGAGACAUAGCCCAAAUCCUCCCACCAUUUCUGAGCUGGGUGACCUUGGGUAAGUUACUUGACCACUCUGAGCUGCAGUUCCCUUACUGUGAAAUGGGGAGAACACCGUCUUACUGCCCAAGGCUUCAAAAGGAGGUAUCCCGGGUCUUGCCCUUCCAUUAUGGAACCCGCCACAAUAGGCAAAUCUACAGAGACAGGAAGGAGACGCGUGGGGGCCUGGGGCAGAGGAGGGGGAAGGGAGCGACCGCUGAGAGGUGAGGGUUCUUUCCGGGUGAUGAGAAUGUGGAUACUCUGGGAAGUGACCGAAGCCACCGAGCCGUGCGCUUUAGAUGGGUAAGUGUGCAGAACAUGAGUUAUAGCCCCAAAGCGCUGGUGAUGAAGGAGGUGCCCGUGGGGUGGAUGGCACGCGUGGGUGCUCCAGGCUCACAGCACACCCCUGUUGGCUGCUCGCCACCUGCCCCCGUCCUGGGCACGGGCUGCCACGUCUUGGCCGGGGCCCGAGGGGUGGAUGCUGAGCUUGAGAGAGGCCCCUGAAGGUCGCUGAGAUGACCUUGGAGGGAAAGGAGGUGGUCCAUCCUCCACCCUCAGGGGGAGGCCGCCAGAGCCAGGGUGACGGGGUGGGGGCAAGACCCGGGACUUAGCAGCCACUGCCAGAGUUUCACCCCCAGCCCCCUUGCUGGCUCUGUGGCCUCAGGCAAAUUGCUUAACCUCUCUGGCCGUCGUUUCCUCUUCUGAAGAAAUGGAGGUGAUGGAAUUCUCAGUCCUGACCAUAGGAGAAAGGAGGGCAUCUGCGCGGCACAUCUGGAAAAGGGCUUUGCCCAUCCUGAGCGCUUGGAAAAGGGUCUCCGGAGGGAGGGGCUGAGCGAGGUCAGAAGACCCCGAGUCCAGUCUGGCUUCUGCCCACCUAGUGACCUCCACCCUUGCUGGAGCCUCAGGCCCUGCCACGUCCAGGCCUGUGCCUCCCGCUCCUUCUCAGCAGGCCUGUCCCCAGCCUGUCCCCGUGUAACAGACGGACCUGGAGCAGGGAAUCCCCUCUCGGGGUCUUCGUCUGUUCACCUGUCGGAUGAGGGAGGGAGACCGAAGAAGCCCCAGGGCCCCCUUGCUGCCGGCCUCGCCCGCUCCCUGGCCCAGCACGCCUCUAGGGCUUGCCCUCGGCUUCCCCAUGUCCUGUGUCCUCAUGUCACCCGCCUGCCUCUCUAGUCGCUCAGAGGCAGGAGCCCACCUUCCUGCUGGGGCUGAAUGAGUGAGCAUCCACCUUGACUGAGGCCCCAGCCAGCUUCACCUGGGCCUGAGGGAGUGACCUUGGGCAAAACCUGGCUCUGGGCCUCAGUUUCGCCCACUAUAAAACAGACCUAAUAAUCUCUGUGUCUUCUUUGUCUUCCUGGGGAGGACGGUGAUGAGCCCUGGCAUCCAGGGGCAGGGAGGACCUUAAAUGAUAUUGAGUUCAACCCCAAAUCCAAUGCUUGAGGACCCCUACCAGGCCCCAGGCUGUGCUUGCAUACCUCUGGAGUGACGGGGAGUUCACUUUCUGCCCACCCAGUCCAUUCUAUCCAUUUGCUUGACAACAGUGACCGCAUCUAACAGGUGCCACACACAGUGGCAGGUUCUGAUGGCUCAAAAGUGAAUAGGGGCCAGGUGACAUAGAGGCAAUGACAUUGUUCAGGCUUGAACCCUGACUGUUUCUGCCUCUUCUUAGCUCUGUGUGGCCCCUGAGAGUCUUAACCGCAUUUCCUCAUCUGUAAAUGGCAGUCACAGCUCCCCGCCUGUGAGGUCACUGGAAAGACCACCCCCAGGUGAGCUGGAGACCCUGGGGCACGAGCUCAGUCACUCUUGGGGAGCAGGUGCCAUCGUUGUCUCAAUUUUUCAAAUGAAUUUUUCAGAGGCACAGAGAUGUUAAGCAACUACCCUGAGGUCACACAGUGAGUGUGACAGGUGGAGCCCAAGCUGGGCCCCGGCUGCCUAUGCCCGGGUCCCUUGUACCUCACACCUCUCACAAGGGGCCUGCUCAGCGUAGCCCAGUUCCCUUCACACGAUUCGGGGGCAUGAGCGCUCCGUGCUCCCCAGAAGCCUCAGACCCAUUCAGCCUCCUUUUCUUAGAGGGCAAGUGGGGCCGGUGGUUUUCCACUGUUAUUUUUAGCUCUGCCCCCACUGUAUUGUUUCGGAUCCAGAGAACGGAGCCUCCGAGGUCCUGCGAGUGUCCAGCCAGUGUCCGGGGGGUAUAACCUUAGCGGGCUUGCAUAGGAGCAGUGAUGACAAGGCUACCGGAACCUGAGCUCCCCGACCCCCACCCCACCCCCACGGAGACUCGGAUCCACUGCGAGCAACUCAACAGAAGCGGCCCUGCCCCCAUCCCGUCCAACUGGCGUCCACAGGUGGGGAGAGGACAGCGCUCCCAGAAGCCGGAUGAGAGGAGUUGCUCCGGGUCACGAGCUUGGCAUUUCCCAGCUCCACCUCCGUGUCCACUCACCUCCAAGGUCAGCCUCUGCAGAGCCACACAACCCGCGGGAGGGACCCCUCCAGGCCCCAGGGGGCUGGCAAGGAGGACUGGGAUGGGACAGCAGCCACCGUGUGGUGCAGCAGUGAAUCCUGCGGCCCCCACCUGCCAGGGAGCGAGUCUGGGCUCUGCCGGUGUGAUGCUGGGUGAGAAAACAGGCCCAGAGAAGGUGGGUCCCUGCCCAGGCUCACACAGCUACGGAGCAGUAGAAGCUGGGAUUUGAAACUGAGCCCCAAGACAGAUUCGUGUUGACAGAUGUAUAAACUGAAUACUGACCCUCCAGAGAGAUCCACGCCCUAAUCCCGGGAACCCCUGUGAAUGUCACCUCCCGAUGGCAAAGGGAUUCUGCAGAUGGGAAGAAGUGAAGGAUCUUGAGAUGGGAACAUUAUCCCCGAUUAUCCAGCUAUAAGUCCCGGGAUCUUCCAGCUCAACCAGCCCAUUUUACCGACGACGUGGAGCCUGAGGCCAGAGUUAGGGGUCAACUUGCCCCGUCCCGCCGAGAUGAGUGGCGGGAGGGUGCUGUCUCCUGGCACGUCCUGGGGGUCCUUGCUCUGCUCUUCUGGACUCCAGCCCUGGGCAGCCUGGGCGAAAUCGUCUAGUCCAAACCCAUUUUCCGAGUGAGGAAACUGAGGCCUGGAGUUGUCCGAGAGUUGCACUCGAGUCCCUAAGUGACAGGGGAUGUGCAGGCCCUGAAUCCCCAGGGAGUCCUCUCGGCAAGGCCCUCCCCUCCCCAUCUGGAGCGCCGCUCCUCCCCGUGUAUCCCCAGCAGACAGGGGCCAGCGGGGUCUGGGAAAACCACAUCAGGAGCGGCCCAGCUGUGGUGCAGGAAUUCGAGAGCAGCUCCUUAGUGGCCUCCAGCCUGGGAAAGCUCUGAGGCCUUCCUGUCCCCGCCCGCCUUGCCACUUAGGGCCAGCCCUGUCCCCAAGGCUGUGAGAAGUCGCCUGGAGGCAGUGUCCAGUGGGGUGGAGGAAAGAGCGGCCUAGAAUGGAGGGACUUGAUCCCCGAUCCUAAGCCAGUUAGUGGCAUUAUCCUGGAUUAUCCUAAACCGAGCUCAGGGCCCUGGGCUUGUCUAGGGGAGCAUAGGUCUCCCUGCCCCCGGCAUGUGGGGGUUCCAGUGGUGCCUUAACACCCAGCGACACAGGCCCACAGCCAAGAAGGCACAGUUCUUACAUAAAGCAUUCAUACCCACUGGCACCCUCAGACCUCACAACAGCCCUGUAACGGCGAGGCUGCUGCUGUCCCAUUUUACAGAUGGAGAAACUGAGGCUCGGAGAGAGAAAGGGACUCUCCCCAAGUCAAGGUCCUGUGGUGGCAGCACUGGGACUCUGCUAACUCCGGGAGCUCUCGCGAUGACCCUGGACUCGUCUCUGGCAAUUCGGUCCCAGGCUUGCUGUGGGGCCUUGAGUAAUCUCCCUCUCUGAGCCUCGACUCUCCUCUGUGAACUAGGACAUAAUAAUACCUCACUGGGGCGCCUGCAGAAUCAGGGAGUGCGUGAGCCCCGCGCCUGGCACGCGGUGAGCGCUCCAUCUUCGCUCACCCUCAUCACCAUCACACUACCCGAUUGGAUAACCGCAAAUACUACUGCGCGGCCCCGGGGCCAGGAGCCCAGCACAACAGGCCCUGCCCCCGGGGCUGGGGGAAGACGCCAAUAAACACACAGGUCCUGCGGGAGGUGAAGGAGUGACCACGAGAGCAAGGAGGGGGCUGCCUGGCGUGUUCAAGCAACACUGAAGAGGCCAGUGUGGUCCUAGGGGGUUAGAGACAGGGCAGUGGCAGGAGGAGAAACCAGAGAGGUGGGGGGUGGGGCAGAGUCACAGACCACGGUGGCCAUUGGGUGGACGUCAGCUUUCCUUGAGCCAAGUGGGGAGCCAUCGCAAGGUGUCCUCAUUGUCCACUAAACGCUCAAAGCCUGCAAUGGGCCCUUAGACCCUGGGUCACUGUGUGAGGAGUGGAAUGGCCACCCGCUAGCUAACCACCCUCCUCCGCCCAGGACCCGCCCACGGCCCCUCCCCCUCCCUGCGAUGCUCCAGAACCCUGAGAAUCAGGUGGUCCUAAAGUGUCAGCGCUCAGAGGCAGCUUGGAGGCCAUUUGGCUCCAAUUACAGAUGAAGAAAGGAGGCUGGGACGCGGAGGGGAAGGGGCUUGUCCGGGGCCUCUCAGCACAUCCGCGGCUGUGCCAGCUGUGACGCCCAAGGCUCCUGCCUCCUGGAGCAGGGCCCCUCCCGCUGCAGAGCCCUCGGUGAACGGGACGUUUUGUUCUUCUGGCCCAGAUCCAAGGAGUCCCCAGGGACACACUCUGGUUUGCCUUUGCCAAAGGCCUCGCCAGCUAAGGGUCCCUUCUAGGCUGCCAUCUCUGGCAGAAGCUGCGCCCUCCUGGGGCCAGCCUCCCGCCUGCACCGGCAUUGAGGAGUCCGUGUGCAUGUGAGGAUGGGGACCCUGUGCAGCUCCUCAUCCCAGUCACCCUGCUCCCAGGGCUUCUAUUCCAAGCACAGACAUCGAAACACAAUAAGCAGCCACUCACUGCCCACUUCUGGGGUCACCCUGUUGGAGCAAUAAGCUCCUGACCUCUCUCCCCACCCCGUGGAUGUUCAUGGUGGUUCUGUAGCUGCCACUGCCAGCUCCUCAGCUGCAGUUCAAGGGGAGGGAACACCAGCCAUUCAUCCACUCUCUGAUCUUCCAUUCAUUCAUCUCUCUAUCUUCUUGCCCAUUGGUCCGUGCAUUCAUCCAUACACCCACCUAUCCAAUUGCCCCACCCACAUAUCUAGCCUUCCGUCCAUCCAUCCAUCCAUCCAUCCAUCUAUCCAUCCACUGAUCUGAACAGCCACCAGUCUGUCUGAUUGUUACUGGUCCAUCAUCUCAUCCAUCCAUCCAUCCAUCUAUCCAUCCAUUCAUCCAUCCUAUGCUCUCUCUCUUACACCUAUUGUUUGCCCAAAAACCUCUCUCUCUGCCUGUGCGUUGGUCUACAUAUCCAUCAUCCACCUAUCCCCUUACCAACUUCCCUGCCCUUCCGUCCAUUCCCUCACCUUCCUCCCAUCCAUCCAUCUCCCCACUCCACUCCCACUGCUCUGCCAACCAACCUGUCAGCCUGUCUCUUGGUCCAUCUGCCCCUUCAUGCAACGUUCAUGGAGGCAUAUCCUGUGGGACUCAGCGUUGUAACUAUAGCACCUACAGUAAUAGCUGCCACUUACUGGAUGCUUGUUUUAUGCCAGACACUCUACCUACGUUCUCACUUAAUCCUCACAACAACCUGUCGUCGUUUGACAGAUGAGGGAACAUGCUGGAUGGCCUCAAUUAGACAACUGUCAAAUUGUUUCAUUCCAAGAGCAGCUUUACAAGAUAGAUGCUGUCAUCAUUUUGCAGAUGUGGAAACUGGCCGUGCAAUUUGCCCGAAGUCACAGCAGUAACGAAGGACAGGAUUUGGACCUCAGUGUUCUGACUCCGAGUUCCGUCCUCCUUCCUUCUGACCACCGCCGCCUGAGACCCGAUGGCCAGACCUUGCUGCCCCGGUGUGUGACUGUGUGUGUCAGUCAACCUCGGGCCUCAGUUUCCUUGCCUGUGCAAGAGGGGGCUGUGGGAGUGGCUGCUGACUUCCUUCCUUUCUUCCUCUGUCUCCUUCUCAUGAAGAGCCACGCAGGACUGGGAGAUGAGCUGGGCCAGGUGAACCUCUGAGAUCCAGCCUUGGACGUGGCUUGGCCCAGUGUGAACCCGCGGAUGACCCCAUUUCACUGGCUUGCUCCACAAAUAUCCUUCACUGAGUGUGUACCGCCUCAGGGCACAGCCCCGGGGACUCCGUUCCUCACCUCUGCUUCAGGGCAGGCAACCCAGCCAGGGGGAAGGGUGCAGCCCCGCAAGAAGAGGAGAGUCACGUCUGCUGCCAGCUUGCUGUGAGAUCUCGACAUUUCCCUCAGUUUUCUCAUCUGCCCAACGGGCUAGCAGCACCCGCCUCGGAGGAGCAAGUGAAAUAUGUGAUGUGAACACGCUCACCACGCCCUCUCCUCUCCCUUGCUUCUGUGCAAUAACAGGGCUGGGCUCGUGCAGAGGUCCCAAGGGGGGUUCGUGGCUGGACUUCAGGAGCAGGAGCCCCCGAAACCACAGGCGGUGUUUGUGUGUGCACGUGCAGUCUUCACCAAGAAGGCCUGUGACUUUCAUUAGAUUCUCAAAAGGCCCAUGACUUAGUUGCUAAUGAUAAUAAUCACUAAUUGAGUGCGGACUUCGAGCCAGCACCUGUAAGUGCUCGGUGCUUAGUACACCUUACUUCAUUUAAUUCUUAGUAGACGGUAGAUGGAAUAGUGAUUGAGCUCAGGAACUCUAGAGCCUCAUUGUCUGGGAUCAAAUCCUGGCUCCAUUGCUUCCCAGCUGUGUGGCCUUGGACAAUGACCUAACCACUCGGUGCCUCAGUUUCCUCAGAUCUAAAUUAGAUGACAAAGCUAUUUGCUUCAUAGGGUUGUUUUGAGGAGUAAAUACAGGAACAGAGCUUAGAACCAUACCUGUCCCUAAGCAAGAGCUCAGUAAAUACUGUCUUAAAGUAGAUGAGGAAAUGGAGGCUCAGAGAGGUCAAGGAACUUGUCUACAGUCAACCAGCUGGGAAAGAGCCCAGAUUCUAAGCCUGGUGGUCUGACACUGGAGCCCUUGCAUUUAAUGGAUAUGCUCACUGUGUGUUCUUGAAAAGACCCUGACUUCAUCCCACAUGCACCCUAAUUCUUACAUUCAAGGCUCUAGAUUUUACUGACAAGGGAGAGGUUCUGGCCACACUGGUCUCCAAGGUUCCCUGACAUUCUGAUACUUGAGACUUCCACUGUGCGAGUCCCCCCAUCUGGGGGCCGUUGACCCAGCAGGCUGACAGGCCUCCAGAGGAGCUGCAGAGAAAGAGCGAGAG